rnacentral:RNase_P_RNA from 1 species
GCGGAUAGUCGGGCAAUCGCUCGCCUUUGCCAAAGCUUUGGCAUGGGCGGGAGGAAAGUCCGAACACCUACAAGCACCGUGCUUCCUAACGGGAAGAUUCGCCCGAGCAUUCGGGAGGAUAGAAAGUGCCACAGAAAACAUACUACCCUCGAUACGUCGGGGGAAAAGGUGAAAAGGCGAGGUAAGAGCUCACCGCCCCGGUGGUAACAUUCGGGGGCAGGGUAAACCUCACGGGGUGCAAGCUUAUGCAGGCAGUGUGCUGCUUGUCGCUAUACUGCCGGGUGAAGUGCUUGAGUCCUGAAGUGAUUCAGGAACCAGAUAAAUGAUUGCCAUAUACAGAAUUCGGCUUACAGGCUAUCCGGGAAU